rnacentral:lncRNA from 1 species
GUGGAUUGUGAGACCCAUGAGGAUCAUCUUGAUGAUCGAUGAUCCUUGAUGGAUAGAGUUGGAAUAGUUUCGAUCUUUUUCGAUGCUGUAAUUGUGUGACUGAUCUUUUGAUUUACGGUGCCACAGCUGCUCGCAGUGAGACUGUUGGAGUUUGACUACACAUAAACUUAAUCUCAAUGAGCUCUUGUAGUGGAUGUUGACGACAGUUGAUCUACUAUAGGAGUAGGAUGUGCAUCUAGAUGGAAUCUAUCGAUCCUAAUAGAGAGGAGUAGUCCUAUGAGAUUUGAGAAGCUGAGUCUUUAAAGUCUAUGGCUAUAGCAGUGUGAUUGAUGAAAAUUUUUUUUUAUGAGAAUCAUAGAUAG